ensembl:lncRNA
GGGGUCUUUCAGGAGAAAGGUGAUGACCACGAUGUGCGUCUUUACGUGUCCGCACGUCAGCUCAGAGUAACCUACGUGCGUCUGGACCCCAAAGGCGACUUCCUCCGAAUGAUGACAUAACGACAGAUAGAACAGUGCAUAUGAAACACAACAGAAUGUGUAACCCAACGCGGAGCCCACAGGCGAAAACUACCCCUUAGUCACUGAAUACAUGUUUGGAUUGUGGGAUUGUUCGAAGUCGUCAAUGGCGCUCAUUACAAGGUCUCGACUUUGUCAUUCUCUAAAUAAUGAAUCAGGCUGUGGGUGCGCCAACAGCUCCUUAACCACGGCUUAGCACACUGCACAAGGCCAGAAUCAGACCCCAGAGAUUGCAGUGUUGUGCGGCCGACCAUAUACCUGUUUAUGGUGGGAUGACCAAACUAAAGUGAACCUGAACUAAACCUGUCCCAAAGAAUCACCGUUACCACCAGCACUCCAAAAACAGCCCCAUGCAAACAGCAUCGGAGUGACCUUUAACCAGGGAAUGCACAGGAAAACUGGCAUGGAUGUUCCCGGGCAUUCUGCACCAAAGGCUCAACAGCUUGGCGCAAGUGUUGACUAGAACCAAGUUUCCAGAAGCUACCUCAUGUGUACACCAUUAUAAAAGAACAUGAUGUCCUCUUGGUUCUGAAGCCCUUGACCUGACACACUGGUGGGCCUAGUGUCCAGGCUGUUUCCAUACGGGCUUGGCGUGUGGGAUGUGUGGAAGAAGUGAUGCUGAAAUUAUAUGAACUAUUUCCAUUGAUUCUCAGCAGAGUUCUCUGCCUCAGUAAAUCUUCUGCUGAAGAUCAACUUCUUGUUAGGCCUUGUUCGUUGGUUUGAAAGUUUCUGUGCCACAGAGUGUAUUACGAUGGGUUCUUUUGAUAUGUUUAAUGUCUGUUGUCAGUCAAUCAACUGUAGGACUAAAUUAACAACACUGGAGAUAUGGUUGGCAUUUGCCCUUGUUGGAUGCAAUACUUUGUCAAGCUGAGAUAGUCGAUUACAUUUACAUUCAGGGC